AGAGAUGUCCUACAUGUCAGAUAGAGAGAGAGAGAUGUCCUACAUGUCAGAUAGAGAGAGAUGUCCUACAUGUCAGAUAGAGAGAGAUGUCCUACAUGUCAGAAAGAGAGAGAGAGAGAGAUAGAGAUGUCCAACAUGUCAGAUAGAGAGAGAGAGAUGUCCUACAUGUCAGAUAGAGAGAGAGAUGUCCUACAUGUCAGAGAGAGAGAUGUCCUACAUGUCAGAGAGAGAGAGAGAUGUCCUACAUGUCAGAGAGAGAGAGAGAGAUGUCCUACAUGUCAGAGAGAGAGAGAGAUGUCCUACAUGUCAGAGAGAGAGAGAGAUGUCCUACAUGUCAGAGAGAGAGAGAGAUGUCCUACAUGUCAGAGAGAGAGAGAGAGAUGUCCUACAUGUCAGAGAGAGAUAGAGAUGUCCUACAUGUCAGAUAGAGAGAGAGAUGUCCUACAUGUCAGAUAGAGAGAGAGAUGUCCUACAUGUCAGAUAGAGAGAGAGAGAGAUGUCCUACAUGUCAGAUAGAGAGAGAGAGAUGUCCUACAUGUCAGAGAGAGAG
ensembl:lncRNA